rnacentral:rRNA from 1 species
GAUGAACGCUGGCGGCGUGCCUAAUACAUGCAAGUAGAACGCUGAAGGAAGGAGCUUGCUCUUUCCGGAUGAGUUGCGCACGGGUGAGUAACGCGUAGGUAACCUGCCUGGUAGCGGGGGAUAACUAUUGGAAACGAUAGCUAAUACCGCAUAACAGUAGAUGUUGCAUGAUAUCUACUUAAAAGGUGCAAUUGCACCACUACCAGAUGGACCUGCGUUGUAUUAGCUAGUUGGUGAGGUAACGGCUCACCAAGGCGACGAUACAUAGCCGACCUGAGAGGGAGACCGGCCACACUGGGACUGGGACAGGGUCCAGACGCCUACGGGAGGCAGAAGUAGGGAAUCUUCGGGAAUGGACGGAAGUCUGACCGGGCAACGCCGCGUGAGAGAAGAAGGUUUUCGGGUCGGAAAGCUCUGUUGUAAGAGAAGAACGAGUGUGAGAGUGGAAAGUUCACACUGUGACGGUAUCUUACCAGAAAGGGACGGCUAACUACGUG